rnacentral:rRNA from 1 species
AUACGGAGGGGGCUAGCGUUGUUCGGAAUUACUGGGCGUAAAGGGCGUGUAGGCGGGACAUCAAGUUAGGCGUGAAAGCCCCGGGCUCAACCCGGGAACUGCGUUUAAGACUGGUGACCUAGAGUCCGGGAGAGGGUGGUGGAAUUCCCAGUGUAGAGGUGAAAUUCGUAGAUAUUGGGAAGAACACCAGCGGCGAAGGCGGCUCACUGGACCGGUACUGACGCUGAGGUGCGAAAGCGUGGGGAGCAAACAGGAUUAGAAACCCCAGUAGUCC